UACGUAGUUCAGUGGUAGAACACCAGCUUCCCAAGCUGGCUAUGCGGGUUCGAUUCCCGUCGUAUG
rnacentral:tRNA from 1 species